rnacentral:tmRNA from 2 species
GGGGACGUAAUAGGCAUCGACGGGAAGUACUUUGACACCUUGCAAGCCGAGAAUGACUAAAUCUCGCUAAACUAGUCAAAAACCUAAGUGCAGAUAAAACUGACACUUCCAGGUUUGCGGGUCGCGGACUAGCGUUUGCGUACGCGUAAGCCGGGUGUCUCUCUUUUGGUUUCUUAAGCCUGAGGGAAGAGGCAUAAUAUAGCUUAAGAUGCAGUUUGUGGCUAAUGACUAACAGCCAAAAACUAAAGACUCGUUGGUCAAAUUGUUUGUUAUUUUUAACAAAACAAGCUUGUAGAUAAGGUGCUAAAUGCUUUCACGGACGCGGGUUCGACUCCCGCCGUCUCCACCC